rnacentral:rRNA from 1 species
GAAUAUAACGGUUCUCGUUAGAUCACCGAAGUCAAGCAUCAUUGGGCGCGGUCAGUACUUGGGUGGGUGACCACCUGGGAACACCGCGUGCCGUUG